GAUGUGUUUCAAAACAAAAGCACAAGUCAAAGGAUGAAACAUGGAGUGCAGUGAAUGACAAUGUUGGACACAAAGCAUAAUGGAUUUGGUUUAACCUUCUGAAUGAAACCGAAGAUACAAUUCCUAAAAGUUCUACUUGAUGAUGGCUACACUCUACGAAAUGAUUUAAGUUGAUGCUAUAUAUAUAAGUGUAUGCAAUCAAUGCAUGAUUGUCAAAAUGGGAGCAAGGGGAAUCAUGCACCUUUUUAUUUAUAUCUAGUGGAGUGAUAGGCCUUUAUUGAUGAAGGAUGAGAUAAAUCAAGCUUGAAAGAAACAAACAAAUUUCGAUUUGCCUCUUUAAUGAGCGAUUGGUUUUCAUUAGUU
rnacentral:lncRNA from 1 species